rnacentral:rRNA from 1 species
GAUGAACGCUGGCGGCGUGCCUAAUACAUGCAAGUCGAGCGAACAGAUGAGGAGCUUGCUCCUCUGACGUUAGCGGCGGACGGGUGAGUAACACGUGGAUAACCUACCUAUAAGACUGGGAUAACUUCGGGAAACCGGAGCUAAUACCGGAUAAUAUAUUGAACCGCAUGGUUCAAUAGUGAAAGACGGUUUUGCUGUCACUUAUAGAUGGAUCCGCGCCGCAUUAGCUAGUUGGUAAGGUAACGGCUUACCAAGGCAACGAUGCGUAGCCGACCUGAGAGGGGGAUCCGCCACACUGGAACUGGGACACGGUCCAGACUCCUAAGGGAGGCAACAGGUGGGAAUCUUACGGAAUGGGGGAAAGCCUGACGGAGCCACGCCGCGGGAGUGAUGAAGGUCCUCGGAUCGUAAAACCCUGUUAUUAGGGAAAAACAAAUGUGUAAGUAACUAUGCACGUCUUGACGGUACCUAAUCAGAAAGCCACGGCUAACUACGUG